UCCGAAUGCCAAUUAAUUUAACUUGGGAGUCAGAACAUGGGUGAUAAGGUCCGUGUUCGAAAGGGAAACAGCCCAGACCACCAGCUAAGGUCCCAAAAUAUAUGUUAAGUGGAAAAGGAUGUGGCGUUGCCCAGACAACUAGGAUGUUGGCUUAGAAGCAGCCAUCAUUUAAAGAGUGCGUAAUAGCUCACUAGUCGAGUGACACUGCGCCGAAAAUGUACCGGGGCUAAACAUAUUACCGAAGCUGUGGAUUGUCCUUUGGACAAUGGUAGGAGAGCGUUCUAAGGGCGUUGAAGCAUGAUCGUAAGGACAUGUGGAGCGCUUAGAAGUGAGAAUGCCGGUGUGAGUAGCGAAAGACGGGUGAGAAUCCCGUCCACCGAUUGACUAAGGUUUCCAGAGGAAGGCUCGUCCGCUCUGGGUUAGUCGGGUCCUAAGCUGAGGCCGACAGGCGUAGGCGAUGGAUAACAGGUUGAUAUUCCUGUACCACCUAUA
rnacentral:rRNA from 1 species